UCCCAUCUCGAACACGGCAGUUAAGCCCUCCAGCGCCGAUGGUACUGCGUAAACGCGUGGGAGAGUAGGACGUUGCCAGGA
rnacentral:rRNA from 1 species